AAGACUAGCCAUACAACUACAGCAUUGAGAUAAUCAUUAACGAUCGAAUAGAAAUUUAUAUGAUCUCUCGUAUGGUCACGCUCAGUAUAAGUUGUUCUCUAACAAUUAUCUGCACUUUUCACUCAGUGUCUUUACACUGUAGACUAAAGACUCAUCUAUCCCAAAGGAAGCGAACUAUAUGCCGAUCUAUCUGGAUGGAUCACCGUCUCUAUGACUAUCCU
rnacentral:lncRNA from 1 species